UACGAAGGGGGCUAGCGUUGUUCGGAUUUACUGGGCGUAAAGCGCACGUAGGCGGAUCGUUAAGUCGGGGGUGAAAUCCUGGAGCUCAACUCCAGAACUGCCUUCGAUACUGGCGAUCUUGAGUCCGGAAGAGGUGAGUGGAACUCCUAGUGUAGAGGUGGAAUUCGUAGAUAUUAGGAAGAACACCAAGUGGCGAAGGCGGCUCACUGGUCCGGUACUGACGCUGAGGUGCGAAAGCGUGGGGAGCAAACAGGGAUUAAGAAACCCUGGUAACGUCCG
rnacentral:rRNA from 1 species